AAGAGGUUAGUUAAAAACAUAACAUUAAAAUGUCAAAUUAAAAUCACUGAUUUCUCAGUACCCCUUA
rnacentral:tRNA from 1 species